rnacentral:rRNA from 1 species
GUGGGGAAUAUUGGGCAAUGGGCGCAAGCCUGACCCAGCAACGCCGCGUGAAGGAAGAAGGCUUUCGGGUUGUAAACUUCUUUUACCAGGGACGAAACAAAUGACGGUACCUGGUGAAUAAGCCACGGCUAACUACGUGCCAGCAGCCGCGGUAAUACGUAGGUGGCGAGCGUUAUCCGGAGUUAUUGGGUGUAAAGGGCGUGUAGGCGGGACAGCAAGUCAGAUGUGAAAACCAGAGGCUCAACCUCUGGCCUGCAUUUGAAACUGUUGUUCUUGAGUGUCGGAGAGGUAAUCGGAAUUCCGUGUGUAGCGGUGAAAUGCGUAGAUAUACGGAGGAACACCAGUGGCGAAGGCGGAUUACUGGACGAUAACUGACGCUGAGGCGCGAAAGCGUGGGGAGCAAACAGGAUUAGAAACCCCGGUAGUCC